GAUGAACGCUGGCGGCGUGCCUAAUACAUGCAAGUCGAGCGAACAGACGAGGCGCUUGCUCCUCUGACGUUAGCGGCGGACGGGUGAGUAACACGUGGAUAACCUACCUAUAAGACUGGGAUAACUUCGGGAAACCGGAGCUAAUACCGGAUAAUAUAUUGAACCGCAUGGUUCAAUAGUGAAAGACGGUUUUGCUGUCACUUAUAGAUGGAUCCGCGCCGCAUUAGCUAGUUGGUAAGGUAACGGCUUACCAAGGCGACGAUGCGUAGCCGACCUGAGAGGGUGAUCGGCCACACUGGAACUGAGACACGGUCCAGACUCCUACGGGAGGCAGCAGUAGGGAAUCGUCCGCAAUGGGCGAAAGCCUGACGGAGCAACGCCGCGUGAGUGAUGAAGGUCUUCGGAUCGUAAAACUCUGUUAUUAGGGAAGAACAAAUGUGUAAGUAACUAUGCACGUCUUGACGGUACCUAAUCAGAAAGCCACGGCUAACUACGUG
rnacentral:rRNA from 1 species